rnacentral:lncRNA from 1 species
AUGGCCAGUGCUUUGCUGUAUUAUUUUCUGAUCCUGAUUUUCGGCAUUCCCAUGCACGAAUGCACGGCGGUACUCCGAGAUGGCAAGUGUGUCAUCGAGGAUCCCUGUUUUGACCUGAGCAUGAUGGCUAAGUUAGCCAAGCAUGUCAGCAAAGAUGUGACACCUGAGGAUGGUGAGAAGAUACUCCUGAGGCACAACUCCUUUGACAAAAUUCGGAAAAAGAAAAAUCUUCAUAGCUGUGUCCUGCAGAAAAUCAUUGACCUAUUUCAAGAUGUUCUCGAUAAGACGAAUGGGACCUAUGUACAAGAAAAUGGAGAAAUAAACCACCACAUUGAGCUUGUACACAUUAUGGAACAGCUCAGAAACUGUGUUUAUAAGAAAAAAGAUAGAUGUAAAAAGCUAUAUAGGAUGUCUGACAUAACCACAACUUCCUCUCCAGUGAUUUUGGAGAAAAAAAUGAACCCAAAUCAGCUUGCGGUUUUACAGCUGCAAAAACUGAAGUCUGCCAGUGAGAGGGUCAGCGAUGUGCAUAUCCAGGAGAAGGUCAUGGACGAGCUGAAAACCCUCCAUCUCUACAUGCAGGGAAAAGGCUUCCGGAAAAAUACGAACGACUAAAGAGAAGCAUGAUGUUUUAUGAAUUCUGGCCAGCAAUGUGUUAUGUCACAUCUCUGUCUGAUCACUUUAAGAUGUGUCAGUUUAAGCAGGGACAGAAUACCAAGCUAUCUCUUAUAAAUGAGACCAAACUUAUUUUCCAGUUUCUAAUAAGGUAUUUUACAUGUUAAUUAUUUAGUGCAAAUGUCUUUUUUGCUUUUUAUGUAAUGAGUAUUUAAACAGUAUAUGCAUAUUGCUUACCUACUUUCGGUGAAAGAUUAUGUGUACUGCAGUAAACGCAGGUGAGAAAAUAGAUAAGAUAUAGAUCAUUUUGUCAAUGAAAACACAAAAUACAUGUUUUCUUAGAUUUUUUUUUAUUAUUAUUGCAUUAAUUUGUCUGCUCAGUAAAACAUUUUAUAUCUGGCUCUGUAUGUUUGCUUAGUGUCCAGAACAGAUUCAAUUUGAGUGCUAUCCACAGCAUUGUGAGAUAUUAUUGGUAAUUUCUUUGGGAAAUUCUCAAGUGAUUGGAAAACAUUGGUUCUG